rnacentral:rRNA from 1 species
AUUGAACGCUGGAGGCAGGCCUAACACAUGCAAGUCGAACGAGUGGCGGACGGGUGAGUAAUGUCUGGGAAACUGCCCGAUGGAGGGGGAUAACUACUGGAACCGGUAGCUAAUACCGCAUACCAUCGGAUGUGCCCAGAUGGGAUGAGCUUGUAGGUGAGGUAACGGCUCACCUAGGCGACGAUCCCUAGCUGGUCUGAGAGGAUGACCAGCGACACUGGAACUGAGACACGGGUGAGACGCCUACGGGAGGCAGCAGUGGGGAAUAUUGAACAAUGGGAGGCAUCCGGAAGCAGCCAUGCCUCGUGGAUGAAGAAGGCCUUCGUGUUGUAAAGUACUUUCAGCGGGUCGGCGUUACCCGCAGAAGAAGCACCGUCUAACUCCGUGCCAGCAGCCGCGGUAAUAC